rnacentral:rRNA from 1 species
GUAAGGCUGAGUAUUAGGCAAAUCCGGUACUCGUUAAGGCUGAGCUGUGAUGGGGAGAAGACAUUGAGUCUUCGAGUCGUUGAUUUCACACUGCCGAGAAAAGCCUCUAGAUAGAAAAUAGGUGCCCGUACCGCAAACCGACACAGGUAGUCAAGAUGAGAAUUCUAAGGUGAGCGAGCGAACUCUCGUUAAGGAACUCGGCAAAAUGACCCCGUAACUUCGGGAGAAGGGGUGCUCUUUAGGGUUAACGCCCAGAAGAGCCGCAGUGAAUAGGCCCAAGCGACUGUUUAUCAAAAACACAGGUCUCUGCUAAACCGUAAGGUGAUGUAUAGGGGCUGACGCCUGCCCGGUGCUGGAAGGUUAAGAGGAGUGGUUAGCUUCUGCGAAGCUACGAAUCGAAGCCCCAGUAAACGGCGGCCGUAACUAUAACGGUCCUAAGGUAGCGAAAUUCCUUGUCGGGUAAGUUCCGACCCGCACGAAAGGCGUAACGAUUUGGGCACUGUCUCAACGAGAGACUCGGUGAAAUCAUAGUACCUGUGAAGAUGCAGGUUACCCGCGACAGGACGGAAAGACCCCGUGGAGCUUUACUGUAGCCUGAUAUUGAAAUUCGGCACAGCUUGUACAGGAUAGGUAGGAGCCUUUGAAACGUGAGCGCUAGCUUACGUGGAGGCGCUGGUGGGAUACUACCCUAGCUGUGUUGGCUUUCUAACCCGCACCACUUAUCGUGGUGGGAGACAGUGUCAGGCGGGCAGUUUGACUGGGGCGGUCGCCUCCUAAAAGGUAACGGAGGCGCUCAAAGGUUCCCUCAGAAUGGUUGGAAAUCAUUCAUAGAGUGUAAAGGCAUAAGGGAGCUUGACUGCGAGACCUACAAGUCGAGCAGGGUCGAAAGACGGACUUAGUGAUCCGGUGGUUCCGCAUGGAAGGGCCAUCGCUCAACGGAUAAAAGCUACCCCGGGGAUAACAGGCUUAUCUCCCCCAAGAGUUCACAUCGACGGGGAGGUUUGGCACCUCGAUGUCGGCUCAUCGCAUCCUGGGGCUGUAGUCGGUCCCAAGGGUUGGGCUGUUCGCCCAUUAAAGCGGUACGCGAGCUGGGUUCAGAACGUCGUGAGACAGUUCGGUCCCUAUCCGUCGUGGGCGUAGGAAAUUUGAGAGGAGCUGUCCUUAGUACGAGAGGACCGGGAUGGACAUACCUCUGGUGUACCAGUUGUCGUGCCAACGGCAUAGCUGGGUAGCUAUGUGUGGACGGGAUAAGUGCUGAAAGCAUCUAAGCAUGAAGCCCCCCUCAAGAUGAGAUUUCCCAACUUCGGUUAUAAGAUCCCUCAAAGAUGAUGAGGUUAAUAGGUUCGAGGUGGAAGCAUGGUGACAUGUGGAGCUGACGAAUACUAAUCGAUCGAAGACUUAAUC